AAACCCUCUGCAGACAAGGCUGACCUCAAACUCACAGAGAUCAGGUUUGUCUCUGCCUCCCUACUGCUGGGAUCAAAGGUGUGUGCUGCCACCGCCCUGCUCAUAGGCUUAAAAAAUACAGAUUUUAUUAUUAUUCCUUUGUGUGCAGGUGCUUGUGGGGUCAAGAAGAGGUCAUCAGGUCACCUGGAGCUUGAUGAAAGACGGUGGUCCCUUCCUCUCACAGACAAUCUCAGAAGCAUGUGGAACAAUGUUGAGCUGCUAACAAGUGAUGACACUGGAAGUGGACACAUCAAUGGUGGUUCAAGAAAAGAAAAUGUGACUGCUUUGUAUCAAGUAGACUUACUUGGGAGGAUCUCCUCUGAGAAGAUACUGUCGUGGAUGUGGUGGGCCUGUGUCAAGAAGGAAAGUUUCUUUUGGUCGGUGAAAGGAGUGGCAACUUACAUCUUAUCCAUGUAACAUCAAAGCAAACAUUAUUCACCAAAGUAAGAGCCCUGUUU
rnacentral:lncRNA from 1 species